rnacentral:lncRNA from 1 species
GGAAAUAUCACAAGUGUUGGGAAAGCUUAAUUCUCUCAAAAGUCUCAACAUUUCUCACAACAACUUGACAGGUGGUAUUCCAUCGUCGCUAAGAAAUCUGACAGAGCUUGAAUCUCUAGACCUCUCUUCAAACAAGCUUGCUGGACGUAUCCCAACACAACUGGCGAGUCUCAAUUAUCUUUCGGUGUUGAAUCUUUCGAACAACCAGCUCGAGGGACCCAUACCAGAAGGACCCCAGUUUAAUACAUUUGCAAAUGAUUCCUAUUCUGGUAACUCGGGACUGUGUGGAUUCCCAUUAUCAAAAAGCUGCAGCAUUGAUGAGGCACCAGAACCAACAACACCAACAGGAUUUUUCGAAGGAGACGACGCCUCAAGCUGGUUUGAUUGGAAGCUCGCUAAGUUGGGUUACGCGUCUGGAGUGGUGAUCGGCUUGUCCAUCGGAUACAUGGCAUUUGUGACUGGAAGGCCACAAUGGUUUGUAAGAAUGAUCGAAAGGAAGCAAUCCACGAAGCUGAGAAGGGUGAUCAGACGAGGCAGAGCAAGUAGAAGAAGUUUGUAGAUGCAUCUCUAAAGGCCCAGGUGAGUAAUUAUUAGUUUUGUCUUUUGGAAUUAUAAGCUGGUUUCUACUGUUCUUUAAGUAGAUAGCAUGCCGAUAUUAUCGUAAUCUAACAGUUGACUUGCGAAAAUCACAAUCCUAAUUAAUUUCAAAUAAUGCUUAUUAUCGACAUCUAUAGUGAGAAACAAAAUGAGGAUAAUGUAUAAGAAAGAAAAUUUUAACUGAAUUAUUGAUGCGAUUGUUUUUACUUUUAUUGCCAUUUCAUUAGAACAUGUCGUCACGGACGUACAUUGUUGCAGGAAAUUGUGUGCGGGUAACUUUGGUUUGGGCCACGUACUUCAAAUUUGGGCGUAGAAUUUUUUCUGUAUUUGCUUUUCAGCCUCGGAGAGCACAUUAUCCUUUCUGAUUUAUUGUAGAAUUUCUUAAUCAUAACGUUAGGAUUGGUUAUUUUAACCUAUUUGAUGUGGACUAAUUGAAUUUUGUAGAAGGUUUUGAGUGAAAAUUAAUAGAAAAUAUGAUUCUAACUUUUAAGUAUCAAGUGGUCAUAUUAAAAUUUUCCAAAUAUUGGUCUCGAUUAUAAAUUAACAUCUAAUUUUCUACAAAUGCUCUGCAUGUCUCAUUUGUUUUUUAUGAUCACAUAUGUUCGACAUUACAACAUUAAAAUGGUACAUGAAAUUGCAAAUAACAUGAUCCGAGCUAAUGUGGGUAUUUGCUUCUUCUUCUUCUUCAUAUUUAUUACUAACAUUCUACAAACAAGUCGUUUAUUUGAUGAAGAUUUGAACACUGCACAAAAUAGUAGCCGUUUAUAUAUGUAUGUGUGCACACACGCUUCUUUAGUGCCGGUGCCUUCAUUUUUUUUUUUUUAUGUAGAUAUGCUUUUAGGCUAUGCGAUUUAAGAUUGUUAAUUUUUAAUGGUAAUAAACCGUGCCGCCUUACCGUUCUUUCAAAAAUAACUCUUUAAAGUUGCACUGCUUAAGAGCAUGUCCGCAUUAAGAAAAUAAGGGCACAACACCCAAAAAUGAUGACAUACAUACAUACAUACCUAUGUGUGUGUGUGUCAGAGUAUUCGUAAUCUUAAGUUGAACAUCAAUAAUUAAUUGAAAAACAUUGUAAUUACCUAGGACUAUAGACACGAUCACGUUUUUUAUUAUCACACCAUUUCUUCAUUCAUAAGUUGAUAUUUAUUAAACUCAAAAACUUUAUUUUAUUGCUAAUUAUUAGAUCUAAAGUUUGACUCUAGAUGAUUUAUAUGAUAGAUUUUAUCACUAAUUAUCAAUUACUUAAAUGUAAUUUAUGGAAGCUUUGAUUAAAAGUUCAAGGAUGGUUUUUGACACAACUCAAAAGUGUUGUUUAUUACCAAGUAUAAGAGUGUCUGGUUAUAAUCUAACCCGGUGAGCCUAAGGUCGAACCACAGGAAGUUUAAAAUCUAGUAGUUAAUUAGUAAACAAAGAAAAUUAAAUGAGGGAAAGGAAAUUAAUAACAAUCAAUUUAAAAAUAUGCUACGAUUUCGGGAUCCACUCUCAGAUUUUAAAUUAUGGAUAUAACACUCUAAUUAUGGAUAUAACACUCUCAUAUAUUGUAUUUUGCAUUUAUUUUGCCAGUUAAUUAUUAUGUCACUUAAUCUUAACUAACCAUUAGUGUGAUAAAUAUGAGACCAAGUACCUAAUGUGCCACAACUAUAUUGAAGUGUCAACAUUAUGUCGAAAUACCAUAUAAUCUAAAGAUAUCUAAAUCGAUAAAUUAAUAUGACAUUAAAGUUGUUCAUUCUAAAUUAAUAUGACAUGAAUGUCGAAAAUUGUUCAUUCUAAAAUCUAAAUACCCAACUAUAGAGUUCCCAAGACAUUGUGGAAUUUGUCCAAUUAAGCUAUUGUUAGACAUAAAGAUGGCCAACAGGUUAAGUGGUGCGUGGCACGACACAGGCAUAAAAUAUUAAGGUCAUAAAAAUCUUAGUUUCAAACAAUAAAAACUCUAAUUGUUUUAUGUUUAUUAAAUAAUUAAAUGAUAUCAUGAUUUUAACAAAUAAAAUUAUAAAUAUCAUGACUUUAUAAAAUGACACAUCUAAACUUUUACAACUUCAAUAUUUUAUUUAUGAAAUCAUAAAUUAGUUAGAAGAAAUAAGCUUCAUUGCAAACAAAAUAUUUUUCACCAUUUAUACACAAAAAAUAAAAAUAAAAUUGUGAAUGAAAUGUGUUUUAUGAUAAAAUAGAAGUUGCAUUUUUAUUCAAUGGAGUUAAAGUGCAAGUACAAUAUUAAUAGCUCAAAUAAAAAUACGUAUCAUAUGCAUCAUUACAAUUGACCGUACAUCUCAACUAGGUUGGCACCCACUAAACCAUCUAUCAUUUACGAAAUUGCAUAUUCUUGUUUAAUUUUGAGUUCUUCAUUGAUAACGUUCAAAUUUUUAUUUUUUAUUUGAUUUUUUUCCUAAUUUUAGGGGGGAGAAAAGGUAAAGAAUGAGAGAUUACUUAAUAAAUUAAAUUUAGAGCAGAAGCACAGAAGCACUAAGCUCCUGCUAAACUGUUGUUCGACUUGCAAGUUUUGGAUCAAAUAAUAAAGUAUGUGCCUUGAGAAGUUAAUUAGCUCAUGGCCGGAAUGUUAUUUCUAAUCUAGAGCUAGCGUCCUGAGAAAAUUUUGCAUCCUAGCAGGGCAAAAGGUGCUGCAAUUGUGUGGCCGGAAUGUUAUUUCUAAUCUAGAGCUAGCAUCCUGAGAAAAUUUUGCAUCCUAGCAGGGAAAAAGGUGCUGCAAUUGUGUCUACUUUGUUGAAGUUUUCUGAAUUUUCUGAAGUUAACAUUGACAACAGAAGACUCAAUUGGUAGACAUUAUUCUUUAAUACUAAAUAUACAAUUGAGUUCACAGCUAUCAAAAAAAUGGGGCAGUUUUUUUAUUUAAUUACAAAAUUAUCCUUAUUGAAACCCAUAUAAGAGUAUUUAUAUUAAUUAGUUAUAUUGCUUCUUCAACUAUCAUCAAAUUCUUAUUCGAGUUCAUUAUUUAAGGAAUAAAUGUGUUAUCUAAAUAAUCUCAAAUGAUGUACUAAGUAAAUAUUUUGAGAAAUAAGACUCAUUAUGGCUCCUUUCUUUAGUUGUAUCUUUAAUUUCUUAUUAAUGAAAUUCUCACGCAUUGCCAAAAAAAAAUGUUGUUAGCGUCACCAUUGAAAGGGGCCAAAUUAUGUAUUGGUUUGAACCGCAUACGAACCAAUCGGAUUUUAUAUUUUCGAGUUCACCAUUAGAUUAUAAGCCUAAGCAACAAGACUUGGUGCUCAAAGUCUAAAAGUAUUAUAAAGACUUGGUAACUCCCUUAUUCACCUGCAUGGCAUAUCUGUUCUUGUGACUUCAAUAAGAAAAAAGAUAGUAUGGAUUAUUUAACUCAGCCUUUUCAACUUUUGAUUUGCCUCCAGUUAUUUCUCUUAUAUCUUCAGUGGACUUGACUGAAAUGCUCAUUAAUGACUAGAAAAAAUUAUCUUUAACUUAUAAGGUGGACUUGACUGAAAUGCUAAUUAAUGACUUUGAGAAAGAAAGACUUGUUCAGUUUUUCUAUACAUACCUCUUAAUUUGGAUAUAUCUUAGAUCACUAACUUUCAACUUUUCUGAUCCUUCCCAUGAGUUUCACUAUCAUAGCCGUGGAAAAGAAGUUUGGAGUUUUACAAAAUUCGCAAAAAAUAUUAAUUAAGAUUACUGCUCCGCAAUUCAUACAAUUGACCAGGGGAAAAGAUCACUUUAGAGCCUUAUAGGGGGAAGGGAUUGAAGGAAAGAUGCCUUUCUAUUUUAAGUUCAGUAGUAAGAAAGAGCAGGCAACUUGGCAUAAGUUUUCAGCUUAAGUUCAUACAGUUGACCAGUUACAUACAUAUAUGAUGACUUAAAAUAUCUGAGAGUUCGGGUUUCUUUUAGUAUAAACGCAUCUGCUUUUGGACAGGUUCGUGGAAAAACUAGAACAUGUUUUUGAUUUGGUAAAUUAUGUAUUGUUUUGACCGGUUACGUACAUAUAUGAUAACUAAUGGAAGGUCUAACAACUUAGCUUAACAAACUGUAACAGAGUCAAAACAGGGGAGAGAAGAUGAAUUGUGUUUGUGUAAAUGACUGUUAAUCUAGCUAGCUGUUACACCGGCAAAUAUGACAGAUAACGAACAUCUCGCCGAACUUAAGUAAAUAUCUAAAUGGUUAUUAAUUGGAUACAGCUUCAGCUUUUGGACUGGUUUGUGGAAAUUGAAAAAAUUUGAAAAGUGUUCCUCUUGAAGAAUCAAAGUCUACUUUAUACGUAAAGAAAGGGGAUCUCAGGAAAGAUAAUCCAUCAAUGUUCAGUUACAUUCGAGCGUGUUGACUACUUUCACGAUGAAAGACUUCUAUUGUCCCAAGGAGUUUAAUCGAGUGAUUUUUUAAGUAUUCCACUGACCAAUAUGAGAUUCCAAAGCAAGACUUGGUUCCCUAAGUCAAUAAGUAUCGAGGGGUCAAUAAGUAUCGAGGGGUCAACAAUAACUUUGUUGGUAAAAUUCCGAAUAUGUUUACCAACCUAACCCAACUUUCUCUUUUAAGCUUGGCAGAUAAUCAACUGAUUGGCUCGAUUCCAAGUUCAAUCUUUGAACUUGUUAAUUUGACAUUUGUCUCUCUUUCUUCUAACAAUUUCAGUGGCAGCGUUGAGCUUUACGAUUUUGCAAAGCUCAAAAAUCUUAAAUAUCUUAUUCUUUCUAAUAUUAGUUUAUCAGUUAGCACCAAAUUAACAGUCAACUCGUCUUUCCCUAAUCUUUCGGAUUUGGAUUUAUCGGCUUGCAAUAUAAGUGAGUUUCCAGACAUCUUGAGAACUCAACAUCAGUUAGAGUGGUUGGACCUUUCUAGAAACCAAAUCCGUGGUAGGAUUCCCAGUUGGAUGUGGGAGAUCGGAGUACAUACUUUGUAUGACCUAGAUCUUUCACGAAACUUCCUGACAAGCAUAGACCAUCUUCCGUGGAAAAAUCUCGAAUAUCUUACCCUUGAUUCGAACCUACUUCAAGGAUCACUUCCAGAUCUACCACCUCACAUGUUACAGCUUUCAAUUUCCAACAAUAGUUUGACUGGAGAGAUUCCUUCGUCAUUUUGUAAUUUGAGUUCCAUUCAAUAUCUUGACUUAUCCAACAAUAGCUUGAGUGGACAAAUUCCACAGUGUCUUGGAAACUCUACACUUGAAACUUUAGAUCUCGGAAUGAACAACUUCCAAGGUAGCAUCCCACAGACAUAUGCAAAGGGCUGCAACUUGGCUUAUCUUCGACUGUAUGGCAAUCACUUGGAGGGACCGUUACCACCAUCUUUGACUAACUGUGUCAAAUUGAAAAUUCUUGGUGUUGGGAAUAACAACUUUAGCGGUCAAAUUCCAGAAUGUCUUGGAAACUCAACACUUCAAGUCUUGGAUUUGAGAAUGAACAAUUUUAGUGGCAGCCUCCCACAAACAUUUGCAAAAAGUUGUGUUUUGGUAAGUCUUAACCUUAAUGGCAAUCGGUUGAAAGGACCAUUGCCUCCAUCUUUGGUUAAUUGUCAGUAUUUGGAAGUUUUAGAUGUUGGGAAUAAUCAGAUUGAUGACACCUUUCCCUACUGGUUAGACGUUCUUCUUGAAUUGCAAGUUCUUAUAUUGCGUUCUAAUAGAUUUCGUGGUCCCAUUGGUGAUACCAAAACAAGAGUUCCUUUCCCCAAGUUGCGAAUAAUUGAUCUCUCUUACAAUCAAUUCACCGGUGUUUUGCCAAUAUGGUGUCUGAAUGGUUUUAAAGCCAUGAUGCACGGGGAUGACAAUAGUAUUGAUGUCGAUUAUAUGACGUUGUCGAAUUAUUCUUACUAUGAAUCAAUAUCUUUGACUGUGAAAGGCAAUGACAUACAAAUGGAGAGGAUUUUAACCACUUUUGCAACUAUUGAUUUGUCGAGCAACAAAUUUCAAGGGGAAAUAUCAGUAGUGUUGGGAAAGCUUAAUUCACUCAAAAGUCUCAACAUUUCUCACGACAACCUGACAGGUGGUAUUCCAUCUUCGCUAGGAAAUCUGACACAGCUUGAAUCUCUAGACCUCUCUUCAAACAAGCUUGCUGGACGUAUCCCAACACAACUGGCGAGUCUCAAUUAUCUUUCGGUGUUGAAUCUUUCGAACAACCAGCUCGAGGGACCCAUACCAG